UCUAUGUUAUAGACCCAGAGCCUCAAGAAGGAAGAAACCAUCUCUACAACCCUGGAUUAGAAUUAUGCCCAGCAUGCCAUGAUUGUUCUAGAAAUUUUGGCCAAGCUGACUGAAACAGUUACAGUAGCUGGAGAGCAGCAUGUGUCUGAGCCACUCACAGCAAGUGAGACUUGAGGUGCAUAGCAGAAAGAGCCCACAUAAGAUGGCAAAGGCUAGAAGCCAGUGGAGAAUGCAGGGGUGGAGGAUGGAGCAGAAACGACUCAGUUUCUGAGCAAGAGAAUACCAAGGAGGCAGCUGGGGCGGUGAGAAAGACAAAGAAGAGGAAGCACCGAAUCCGUGACUUUUUUGCAUGUGUCUUUUUCUUUUUUUGAGUAUGGUAAUGUAACAUAAAAUUUAUCUUCUUACCCGUUUUGAAUGCAUAGUCAAUGACAGUAAAUACAAUCAUAUUGUUGUGCCCCUGGCCAUUGAGCCCCCUAAAUUAGGGCUUCCCAAGUUGUCUGUUGUGAUAGACCCACAGUUUCUAUUUGCUAUCCAUUAUAGACAGAUGCUUCUGUGAAAGACAAUAAAAAUGAAUUACUGAGCAAAACAAAAUGACAAAUGCAUACAAAAAUAAACACACACAUUUAAAUGUCACACUUGAUAGCCUUAAAUGAUUGUCCAAUUGCAAUGGACAUUUCUUAACUCCUAGUCUCAGCUUCUGUACUCCUCUCACUCUGGAUUAGUAAGAAAUGGUUGCAGAGUCCCGCAUGAGUGCCAUGCUCUGAAUUCUCUGUUCCCGGGUCCCAGUCACUUUGGUGUAGGUCUCACUUUAAGCAUAUUGGUUCAUGUUCCUUCUUCUGCUGCCUUCCAGAACCAGGGAACUCUGAUAGUAACAAGGUCAUCUUUGGAGGUGGAGAGAUAGCCUGAGGUGAAAAGUGAGAGAACAAGGAGGGCUUUGCAUGUACCUGCAGAACAAACACACCCAACUCAGAAGGAAGAGAAGCUGUGAUGGAGAACCUCCUUCCACAUCCCAGCCUUCCUGGCUGCUAUAAAAAUGAAGCAGCUGUCCUCUACCACCUCUGGUAGAGGAUGUUCUGUCCCAAAGCAAUGGAGCCAGCUGACCAUGGACUGAAACCUCUGAAACUGGGAGCCAAG